UAGGGAAUCUUCCACAAUGGGCGCAAGCCUGAUGGAGCAACACCGCGUGAGUGAAGAAGGGUUUCGGCUCGUAAAGCUCUGUUGUUAAAGAAGAACACGUAUGAGAGUAACUGUUCAUACGUUGACGGUAUUUAACCAGAAAGUCACGGCUAACUACGUGCCAGCAGCCGCGGUAAUACGUAGGUGGCAAGCGUUAUCCGGAUUUAUUGGGCGUAAAGAGAGUGCAGGCGGUUCUCUAAGUCUGAUGUGAAAGCCUUCGGCUUAACCGGAGAAGUGCAUCGGAAACUGGAUAACUUGAGUGCAGAAGAGGGUAGUGGAACUCCAUGUGUAGCGGUGGAAUGCGUAGAUAUAUGGAAGAACACCAGUGGCGAAGGCGGCUACCUGGUCUGCAACUGACGCUGAGACUCGAAAGCAUGGGUAGCGAACAGGAUUAGAUACCCUGGUAGUCCAUGCCGUAAACGAUGAGUGCUAGGUGUUGGAGGGUUUCCGCCCUUCAGUGCCGGAGCUAACGCAUUAAGCACUCCGCCUGGGGAGUACGNCCGCAAGGUUG
rnacentral:rRNA from 1 species